UUCCGCUUCCUCUCGACCCGAGCCAGCUCCACUCCUGUGACUCUGCUGGGGCGGGGCGGAAAAGGUUGCGCAUGCGCAAGUCUGCGCUGCUUCCGCUGCGAGGUAGAAUAGGCUUGGAGACGGUCCGGCUCUCAAUUGUAGGCUUUUGGGGACGUUGCCAUUUACUAACGGUGGGAUAGGGUGCAACUCGUUUUGCGUCCGUGGGAUGGGGCAACCACACUUGAGUUCCUGUGCUUCUUGCCUGAUAGUUGUGCUCACUAAACGUGGAGGCUGGAAGAUAUUAAGCCCGCGCCUGUCAAGAUACUUGCUGGACCCCAAACGGUCCAAAUUUAGGAGUGGGCUGGUUGUGAUAAUGGUUCUGCUGGCAGUGUGGGAGACACUGCGAACGUGUGAGAACUUGUCCAGCCUGUGAGAACUUGGGCUGGACCUACCCUCAGUCUAGCAUCAGUUCCUGUUACAGUGGUUUUGAGGUGAUUAGGUCCCGGCCUGAGGUGAGGCUGGGGACCGGGAGGAAGGGAGGGCCAGAUUUAGGGCCCCUCCCAGGACCAAGGCCCUUGGUGAAGGGGUGGCUGCACCAGGAGGCUGUUAACUAAAGAAAAGGUUAAGGGUGGGGAAGCAGGAAGGGAGGUGAUAAUGAGAAACAAGAGUCCCAGAACGUACUAGGACCAAAGGUCUCCGUUUAAAACUGAAAACAUAUUCCAUAGCUCCCCCACUGCCCACAAGCUAAGGUUAUGUUUUCAAAAUGACCUGGUGGAGCAUUCCUUCACAUGCGCGCAUCUGGCCUUCAUGAGUCUCCCCCUUCACCAAGGAAAAAAUGGUCUCUAAAGCCAGAAGUGUCUGGAUCCUCUUUAAAGGUUCAUGUUCAGUUUACGAAAGCCCUGGGAUUAUUCAGUCUAUGCGGAUGAGCUCCAAUGUCAGGACCAGGCUCCAGGGCGUCUCCAUCCAUCCCCUGCUGCCUCUCGUUUCCACCGGCCUCCAAUUACACCCCUGCCCCUGAAUGUCUCCUUGAGGAACAGUUUGGCCUCGAGAACAACCUCCCCAUCCUUCCUGCUCCAUUGUCUUUGCCAAAACAAUAAACUUUUAUUGAGUAUUA